rnacentral:rRNA from 1 species
UACAGAGGGUGCAAGCGUUAAUCGGAGUUACUGGGCGUAAAGGGCGCGUAGGCGGUCAUUUAAGUUAGAUGUGAAAUCCCUGGGCUUAACCUAGGAACUGCAUCUGAUACUGGGUGACUGGAGUAUUGUAGAGGGUAGUGGAAUUUCCGGUGUAGCGGUGAAAUGCGUAGAGAUCGGAAGGAACACCAGUGGCGAAGGCGGCUACCUGGACAAAUACUGACGCUGAGGCGCGAGAGCGUGGGGGAGCAAACAGG